rnacentral:rRNA from 1 species
CCCUAUUAUACCAAAAAGUAAUCAUAAAAUACCUGAGUAGUAACAGAUAUGUUCUAAAAAUUUGAAAAAUUUGGCGGUGGUUUAGUCUUGUCAGAGGAACCUGUCUUUUAAACGAUACACCACGAAAUAUCUUACUUGAGUUCAUGCAGUAUGUAUACCAUCAUUAUUAGGUAAUUUUUAUAGAAUAAAUUACUGAAAAAUGUCGAUAAUGUUGAAUAUAUUAGAUCAAGGUGCAGCUAAUGCUCAAGUUAAGAUGGGUUACAAUAGUAUUUAUACUAUUACGGAUAAGUAAGUGAAACUUUACUUUGAAGGAGGAUUUGAUUGUAAAUUUAGUUUAAUAAGCUAAUUUGAUAUAAGCUCUAAAGCAUGUACAC